UACGGAGGGUGCGAGCGUUAAUCGGAAUUACUGGGCGUAAAGCGUACGUAGGCGGUUUGUUAAGUCGGAUGUGAAAUCCCCGGGCUCAACCUGGGUGCUGCAUUCGAUACUGGCAAACUUGAAUACGGUAGAGGGGGGUGGAAUUCCAGGUGUAGCGGUGAAAUGCGUAGAGAUCUGGAGGAACACCAGUGGCGAAGGCGGCCCCCUGGACCGAUAUUGACGCUGAGGUACGAAAGCGUGGGGAGCAAACAGG
rnacentral:rRNA from 1 species